rnacentral:ncRNA from 1 species
UGACCUCAAAUCAGGUGGGACUACCCGCUGAACUUAAGCAUAUCAAUAAGCGGAGGAAAAGAAACUAACAAGGAUUCCCGUAGUAACUGCGAGUGAAGUGGGAAGAGCUCAAAUUUGAAAUCUGGCAGUCUCUGGCUGUCUGAGUUGUAAUCUAGAGAAGUGUUACCUGCGCUGGACCGUGUACAAGUCUCCUGGAACGGAGCGUCAUAGAGGGUGAGAAUCCCGUCUCUGACACGGACUGACCAGGGCUUUGUGGUAUGCUCUCGAAGAGUCGAGUUGUUUGGGAAUGCAGCUCAAAAUGGGUGGUAAACUCCAUCUAAAGCUAAAUACCGGCGAGAGACCGAUAGUGAACAAGUACCGUGAGGGAAAGAUGAAAAGAACUUUGGAAAGAGAGUUAAACAGUACGUGAAAUUGCUGAAAGGGAAACGCUUGAAGUCAGUCGCGUUGGCUGGGGAUCAGCCUCACUCGUUUGUGUGGUGUAUUUCCCAGUUGACGGGUCAGCAUCAAUUUUGACCACUGGAGAAAGGCUUGAGGAAUGUGGCAGCCCUGGCUGUGUUAUAGCUUCUCGUCAGAUACGGUGGUUGGG